AGAUUGGACGCUGGCGGCAUGCCUUACACAUGCAAGUCGAACGGCAGCACGGGGGCAACCCUGGUGGCGAGUGGCGAACGGGUGAGUAAUGCAUCGGAACGUGCCCAGUAGUGGGGGAUAACUAGUCGAAAGAUUAGCUAAUACCGCAUACGACCUAUGGGUGAAAGCGGGGGAUUCGCAAGAACCUCGCGCUAUCGGAGCGGCCGAUGUCUGAUUAGCUAGUUGGCGGGGUAAAAGCCCACCAAGGCUUCGAUCAGUAGCUGGUCUGAGAGGACGACCAGCCACACUGGGACUGAGACACGGCCCAGGACUCCUACGGAGGCAGCAGUGGGGAAUUUUGGACAAGUGGGCGCAAGCCUGAUCCAGCCAUGCCGCGUGGCGGGAAGAAGGCCUUACGGGUUCGUAAACCGGUCGUUUUAGGCGAGGAACGAAACGGCGACGAG
rnacentral:rRNA from 1 species